GUUGGUUACACUACAAACAAUUACGUGGAAUGUACGAGGAAGAUAAUAAGAAAGCAUUUAGUUAUACAUUUUCUAGAUUUCAAAAGGGAGUUAUAGAAGAAGUGAAGCAGCUGAAGAAAGUGUAUAAUAUUUUGCUAGAACAGGAAACAAAAGAUGAGGAGGAAAAAAUCGGUCAUGAUCAAAUGGGCACCAGAUAUAGGACAUAACAUACAAUUUGAGGACUGGGAAAAAUUGUGGAAAGUAGAUUUGAAAUUUACAGACUGUUCUCUUUUGAAAGAAAACUAUAUGAAAAUGAUGUAUAGUUUGUAUAUUACACCAGUACUGAUAGCAAAAAUGUAUAAAACUGGGUCAAAUAUAUGUUGGAAAUAUAAAGAAAAAGAAGGGACUUAUAAUCACAUGUGGUGGGAAUGUAGAGAAGUUUUAAAAUUGUGGGAAAUGAUAUAUAAUGAAUUGAAAAAAAUGUUCAAAUUGACAUAUGUAAAAAAACCCAGAAAUAUUCUUGUUAGGGAUUGGAGGACAAGACCUGCCAAGGAAAAGAAAGAAUUUAUUUAUGUAUGCUAAAACAGUGGCGAGAGUCUUGUUCACAGAAGGAUGGAAGAAUGAGGAAAUCCCAAUGAAAGAACAGUGGCAAGAAAAAUUGAUGACCUAUGCGGAAUUGCCUAAAUUGACAUAUAAACUGUUUGAAAAGGACAACUGUGACUUCAAGGAAGAAUGGGAACUUUUUACAAACUAUCUAAAAAGACAUCAAAAUAAACUGGAGUCCUUGGCAGGUUUUCAAUAAACAUCCAUAAAUUUAUUAGUUGAACACAUGAUAGAUAAGGCAAGGAUAUGUACAAUUUUAUAACAUGCAGAAAACAAUAUAUGCAAAGAAAUCAGGGAGGGGAGCUGAGGGAAGUCCAUGGUGGGUGGGAGAGGGAGGGUUGGGGGGGGAGGGGGAAAUAAUGUAAUUGAUUAUGAGGGUGGAUAAAUUGUUAUGCUGAAAUUGUUUAAUAAAAAAUAUUUUUUAAAAAAAAAUUAUACAGGGGAAAACCCUAUCAGUCCUUUGAAUGUGGAAAGAGCUUCAGUCACAGCCACAGUAUCACUUUCCAUCAAAGAAUUCAUACAGGGGAGAAUCUCUAUCAGUGUGUGGAAUGUGGAAAGAGCUUCAAUCAGAGCAGCAAACUAACUUCCCAUCAAAGAAUCCAUACAAAGGUCGGCAAAACCAUUAUACAGCUUUAGGACCCGGGCAAAGGGUUAAACCAUAGAGCCUAGGACUUGCCGAUCAGAAGGUUGGCAGUUCAAAUACCUGUGACGGGGUGAGCUCCCGUAACUUGGUCUCUGCUCCUGCCAACCUAGCAGUUCGAAAGCACACCAAAGUGCAAGUAGAUAAAUAGGUACCGCUCCGGCAGGAAGGUAAACGGCGUUUCCGUGCGCUGCUGGCCACAUGACCCGGAAGCUGUACAUCUCAUAAAGUGAGAUGAGCGUUGCAACCCCAGAGUCGGUCACGACUGGACCUAAUGGUCAGGGGUCCCUUUACCUUUACCUUUAAAUCCACACCUUUAUAAGCAGGCCUUUGGUUGAUUGACAUCUAAUGCACUUUUAACGUGGUGUUUUGUGUUUUUGUGUUGUAACAUUCCUGAGACCUGUGGGUGUAGGGAAUAGGCACCAACUCUUAAAGGCCUAGGGGCCUUUUCCCCACCCCCAAUAAAAUAUUUAAGGAUGCCACCCCCCAGUUUCUGGUGGUUUUUUUCAAACACAACCUUUUAUUCUUCUGCAACUUGCCAUACAAUUUCGCUUUCAAUUUGCCCUCUUAAAAAAUAAAAAAUAAACGCACAAAAGUCAUGAGGAAAAACAACGUACAAGAAGAUACAAACACGGACAGGUCCCAUCUUUGUGGGCAAAAUGGAAAAGUUGCUUUGAAGGAGGCUUUCCCAAACUUGGGUCCCCAGCAGCUCCUGGACUACAGUUCCCAUCAUCCCUUCCCAUUGGUCCUGCUAGUUAGGGAUGAUGGGAGUUGUAGUCCAAAAACAGCUGGAGACCCAAGUUUCCUUUAAAGGGAAAGUAGGCUGGCCCUGUGACACCCUCUGCUGGCCAAAAUCACUGCCCCAGAAUCUGAACCAUCCCCAGUACUGCUAAUUGGAAUUAAUAGAGCGCAAAACUGAAGUUUGAUCGGCACUUCAACCGUUCUGCGCUGUGAAGGUUUGGAAUUCUCCUGACGUAAAUGCAGUCCCGUUGUCUGAGACGAGAGUGUCAGGGAGCCCGUGGGUUGCAAACAGCCUGCGUAGUACCCGGAUGGCUGCGGAUGUAGAAGUGGAUGGUACCAGUGCGACUUCCAGCCAUUUGGUGUAGGAGUCCACCACUAUGAAGAAUGUUUUCCCCUGAAAGGGGCCAGCGAAGUCCACAUGCAAGCG
rnacentral:lncRNA from 1 species